AGGAUGCCGCCGCCCCACGCUCCAUUCGUUCCCCAUCCACGAAAUCCCUAGAUCUCUCCUGCUGUUCCCCACGCACGCCGGCGCCCCACACCCGACCGCCUCCUGCGGCUACCGCCGUCCGGCGGUCUAUCCCACCGCUGCCCCACGCGCCCUUCCUCUAUAGCAUCGCCCCACGCCGCCCUGUCCCUGCAGCGCAACCUAACUCCGUCCUGCCUCUCUCCGCCGCCGGCUCCACACCCUCGUGCUCUCUCUCUGGUUGGUCGCCUCUCUCCAACAUCCCUGGCCUGACCUCCCCAUCUCCACCAUCUAGCUCACAAAGACCCACGCUGCGGCAGAUUUGGAUCGUGGCAGCGUGCGCUUGGUCAAGGGCAUCCCUCUCUAUCUUUGGCUUGGCAGGGGCACUAAAGCGGCUGAGGAGGGACAAUGGCAAGCGCAAGCGGAAAAGCUAAAGAUGAUGGGGCCACGGAGGAACAACUGAAAGUGGUAGAGUAUAAACUACAGAGAAGUAGGACCAUAGAAGAAAAUGAAUCUCGCAGUGCUAUCACCAAAAAGAACCGCGCCAAUGAAGUGCCUCAUACAUCCGGGAGCAAGAGUCACAAACAAUAUAUAUAUAUAUAUAUAUAUAUAUAUAUAUAUAUAUAUAUAAUUUUCUUGUAGCCUCCUAGAUCUUCUCAUGAGGUUUUUGUCAAUGUUGAGAUGACAAGGGAUGCAACGCUGCCUUAUGAAUAUGAUGGUUUAUGAUUUGUCGCCGAUGUUGUCACAAGGUCCAUUGCAUGGCCAUCUACCAAGAUGAAACCCUACAAGCCAGGGGCAUCUUCCUCAUCCCGCCACUAAGGAUGCUGUCAGGUUGUGUAUGGAAGACAAGAGGAAUAAGAAAGAACCAUGAAGCUGUCAGUUUGCGUCAACUAGAUAUCUUCUGUAAUGGAGGAAAACGAAUGCAUCUUGUAGCUACCAUUUUGUAAAGGAUAUCUUGUGUAAGACCAAGCAUUGAAUCGUCAGACAUGCAUCUAUCAUUUUAUAAACCUAUCGGGUGUUUUGGUCACCUAGACAAA